AGAAUCAACGCUGGCGGCGUGCCUAACACAUGCAAGUCGCACGAGAAAGGGACUUCGGUCCUGAGUACAGUGGCGCACGGGUGAGUAACACGUGAAUAAUCUACCUCCGAGUGGGGAAUAACUGAGAGAAAUCUUAGCUAAUACCGCAUAACACUUACGAGUCAAAGCAGCAAUGCGCUUGGAGAGGAGUUCGCGGCAGAUUAGUUAGUUGGCGGGGUAAUGGCCCACCAAGACGAUGAUCUGUAUCCGGCCUGAGAGGGCGCACGGACACACUGGAACUGAAACACGGUCCAGACUCCUACGGGAGGCAGCAGUGGGGAAUUUUGCGCAAUGGGGAAACCCUGACGCAGCAACGCCGCGUGGAGGAUGAAAUAUCUUGGUAUGUAAACUCCUUUCGAUGGGGAAGAUAAUGACGGUACCAUAGAAGAAGCCCGGCUAACUUCGCGCCAGCAGCCGC
rnacentral:rRNA from 1 species